rnacentral:rRNA from 1 species
AUUGAACGCUGGCGGCAUGCCUUACACAUGCAAGUCGAACGGUAACAGGUUAAGCUGACGAGUGGCGAACGGGUGAGUAAUGUAUCGGAACGUGCCCAGUCGUGGGGGAUAACUACUCGAAAGAGUGGCUAAUACCGCAUACGACCUGAGGGUGAAAGCGGGGGACCGUAAGGCCUCGCGCGAUUGGAGCGGCCGAUAUCAGAUUAGCUAGUUGGUGGGGUAAAAGCCCACCAAGGCGACGAUCGGUAGCUGGUCUGAGAGGACGACCAGCCACACUGGGACUGAGACACGGCCCAGACUCCUACGGGAGGCAGCAGUGGGGAAUUUUGGACAAUGGACGCAAGCCUGAUCCAGCAAUGCCGCGUGCAGGAAGAAGGCCUUCGAGUUGUAAACUGCUUUUGUACGGAACGAAACGGCUCUCACUAAUACUGGGGGCUAAUGACGGUACCGUAAGAAUAAGCACCGGCUAACUACGUGCCAGCAGCCGCAGUAACAC